rnacentral:lncRNA from 1 species
CAUUUUUCUGUCCUUUGUCUUGCAAACAGCUUCUCAGCAAGGAACCUUUGUUGGGAAUCAGUGUUGGGGCAGCCUGGGGCCUUCUCUGGCUCUUCAAGUCUUACAGAUAUCCCAUUAGGAUUAAGAAAACCUCACCACCAACAAACUUCAUACCCCAUCAACAGUGAUGUCAGCAUGAGGAUUAAUACUUUGGGAAAGAAAUUUUUUUUCAAGUAAGACUUCUAUGAAAUGUGCUGCUUGCCAUGUGCCAAGGUUUUUGGCUGAUUCCCAGAUCCUAUGGAGAAAGUAAACGCCCAGUAAGACAACAUUGGAGACAGCAGGGCCCAUAUGGGUAUUGGAGAAACAAUGGACAAAGUCAGACCCAGCCCAGUGGAUGACGGCAGGAUCUCACUAGUGUUGGUCUCACAAGUGUUGAGUAGAAGAUACCCAGAGAGUGAGACAACUUCCAGGACUAGAACUGUGUGUGGAGUCCAAACCAGGAGAGUUGGGGAAAGAGGGCAGUUGGACAUCAUCUUCGUGGAUGGAAUCUUGCCAGGAAGAAGACCUCCUUGAGAAGAAGAUGGGUGAGUGAAGGCAACAAGUAAUUGACACGGAUCGAGCAUCUACACCGGGUACCUUUGUGUGGCUCUCUUGGGGCUUGUGGCUGUCUGUAGGGGAGCCCAGCAAGCAA